UACAGAGGCCACGAGCGUUAGGCGGAAUCACUGGGCUUAAAGCGUGUGUAGGUGGAUGGGUAAGUACCUUGUGAAAUCCCACGGCUCAACCGUGGAACUGCUUGGUAUACUGCCUGUCUUGAGGCACUCAGGGGCGAGCGGAACAGAUGGUGGAGCGGUGAAAUGCGUAGAUAUCAUCUGGAACGCCAAUGGUGAAGACAGCUCGCUGGGGGUGUACUGACACUGAGACACGAAAGCCAGGGGGAGCAA
rnacentral:rRNA from 1 species